rnacentral:rRNA from 1 species
GACGUACGCUGGCGGCGUGCUUAACACAUGCAAGUCGAACGGAAAGGCCCUGCUUUUGUGGGGUGCUCGAGUGGCGAACGGGUGAGUAACACGUGAGUAACCUGCCCUUGACUUUGGGAUAACUUCAGGAAACUGGGGCUAAUACCGGAUAGGAGCUCCUGCUGCAUGGUGGGGGUUGGAAAGUUUCGGCGGUUGGGGAUGGACUCGCGGCUUAUCAGCUUGUUGGUGGGGUAGUGGCUUACCAAGGCUUUGACGGGUAGCCGGCCUGAGAGGGUGACCGGCCACAUUGGGACUGAGAUACGGCCCAGACUCCUACGGGAGGCAGCAGUGGGGAAUAUUGCACAAUGGGCGGAAGCCUGAUGCAGCAACGCCGCGUGCGGGAUGACGGCCUUCGGGUUGUAAACCGCUUUCGCCUGUGACGAAGCGUGAGUGACGGUAAUGGGGAAAGAAGCACCGGCUAACUACGU